AACGAACGCUGGCGGCGUGGUUCAGGCAUGCAAGUCGCACGAGUCCCGCAAGGGACUAGUGGCAGAAGGGUUAGUAACACGUGGGCAAUCUACCCUCGAAACGGGGAGUAACAUCGCGAAAGACGGUGCUAAUACCCGAUGAAGUUGUGAUCCGGCAUCGGAAUGCAACCAAAGGUGGCGCAAGCUGCCGAUUGAGGAGGAGCCCGCGGCCUAUCAGCUAGUU
rnacentral:rRNA from 1 species